UAGGGAAUCUUCCGCAAUGGACGAAAGUCUGACGGAGCAACGCCGCGUGAGUGAAGAAGGAUUUCGGUUCGUAAAACUCUGUUGUUAGGGAAGAAAAAAUGUAUAGUAACUAUAUACAAAAGAGACGGUACCUAACCAGAAAGCCACGGCUAACUACGUGCCAGCAGCCGCGGUAAUACGUAGGUGGCAAGCGUUGUCCGGAAUUUUUGGGCGUAAAGCGCGCGCAGGUGGUUUAGAAAGUCUGAUGUGAAAGCCCACGGCUCAACCGUGGAGAGUCAUUGGAAACUAAUAAACGUGAGUGCAGGAGAGAAAAGUGGAAUUCCUAGUGUAGCGGUGAAAUGCGUAGAGAUUAGGAGGAACACCGGUGGCGAAAGCGGCUUUUUGGCCUGCAACUGACGCUGAGGCGCGAAAGCGUGGGGAGCAAACAGG
rnacentral:rRNA from 1 species